rnacentral:rRNA from 1 species
AGAGUNUGAUCCUGGCUCAGAUUGAACGCUGGCGGCAGGCCUAACACAUGCAAGUCGGACGGUAGCACAGAGAGCUUGCUCUUGGGUGACGAGUGGCGGACGGGUGAGUAAUGUCUGGGGAUCUGCCCGAUAGAGGGGGAUAACCACUGGAAACGGUGGCUAAUACCGCAUAACGUCGCAAGACCAAAGAGGGGGACCUUCGGGCCUCUCACUAUCGGAUGAACCCAGAUGGGAUUAGCUAGUAGGCGGGGUAAUGGCCCACCUAGGCGACGAUCCCUAGCUGGUCUGAGAGGAUGACCAGCCACACUGGAACUGAGACACGGUCCAGACUCCUACGGGAGGCAGCAGUGGGGAAUAUUGCACAAUGGGCGCAAGCCUGAUGCAGCCAUGCCGCGUGUAUGAAGAAGGCCUUCGGGUUGUAAAGUACUUUCAGCGGGGAGGAAGGCGGUGCGGUUAAUAACCGCGCCGAUUGACGUUACCCGCAGAAGAAGCACCGGCUAACUCCGUGCCAGCAGCCGCGGUAAUACGGAGGGUGCAAGCGUUAAUCGGAAUUACUGGGCGUAAAGCGCACGCAGGCGGUCUGUUAAGUCAGAUGUGAAAUCCCCGGGCUUAACCUGGGAACUGCAUUUGAAACUGGCAGGCUUGAGUCUUGUAGAGGGGGGUAGAAUUCCAGGUGUAGCGGUGAAAUGCGUAGAGAUCUGGAGGAAUACCGGUGGCGAAGGCGGCCCCC